CCACAGUCACAGAUUCCCAGGGGUCUACGGAUGUAUCGAUUGCACACACGUUGCAAUAUACCCGCCAAAGAUUAAUGACCCGCUUUACCCAGAACAUGCAUACGUUAAUCGUAAAGGAUAUCAUUCGAUCAAUGUACAAUUGAUAUGCGAUCACAGAUUGAAAAUCCUGAACAUCAAUGCACGAUUUCCUGGCAGCACGCAUGACGUGUAUAUUUGGAAUAACUGUAAUGCUAGGCAAGCAGCGGAACAGAUCUAUAGAAGAUUUGGGAGAAAUACUUUCUGUUUACUAGGUGAUUCCGGAUACCCUUUGCGCCCAUGGUUAUUAACGCCUAUUGCUAACGCACAGCCAAUGAGUGCAGAGGCUCGGUAUAAUGAACGACAAAUGGGCUGUCGUUCUUUAAUCGAACAGUGCAACGGCGUUUUGAAAAUGAGGUUCCGCUGUUGUUUAAAACAUCGAGUUUUACACUAUGCUCCUGAUGUAGCGUCUAAAAUUAUUAAUACCUGUGCCAUUUUGCACAACAUUUGUAUUACAAAUAACAUGCCCGAUCCUCAGCCAUUAGAAGGAGACGACGAACUAGAUUUUGGCAUGUACGAAGAAGAUGCUAAUGAAGUAGUUGAGGAAAUUAAGAAUGCUCGUAGAGUGAAUGAAGAGUUAGCAGCAGGACGACUACUGCAAAC